rnacentral:piRNA from 1 species
UGAGUUAAUUUUAUAUCCUGCUUACUUCAC